UUCCUCUCCUUGCUCAGAGAACUGUCUUCAUAGCUCCCACCAUGCAGUCUGCCUUCAGUCUGGUUUCCAUCCUGACUCUGCUCCAAGGUGUCCAGGGUGAUGUCCAGCUGGUGGAGUCCGGGGGAGACAUUAGACAGCCUGGCGGGUCUCUACGCCUCUCCUGUAAAGCCUCCGGAUUCACCUUCACUGCCUAUAGCAUGAACUGGGUCCGCCAGGCUCCAGAGAAGGGGCUGGAAUGGGUCGCGCACAUAAAUAGCGGUGGGGGCACAGCCUAUCAAGAUUCUGUGAAAGGUCGAUUCACCAUCUCGAGGGACAACGCCAACAGCCUGGUGCAUCUUCAAAUGAACAGCUUGAAAACCGAAGAUGCAGCCCUGUAUUACUGUACCACACACACAGUGAGAGAAACCACAUUCUGA